GGAACAAGGGAGUGCCCUUCGGGGAACUGGAGACAGGUGCUGCAUGGCUGUCGUCAGCUCGUGUCGUGAGGAUGUAGGGUUAAGUCCCGCAACGAGCGCAACCCUUGUCUUAAUUGCCAUCAUUGAGUUUGGGCACUCUAGAGGGACUGCCGGUGUCAAACCGGAGGAAGGUGGGAUGACGUCAAGUCCUCAUGGCCUUUAUGUCUAGGGCUACACACGUACUACAAUGGCCGGUACAAAGGGCAGCCACUCAGCGAUGAGGCGCUAAUCCCAUAAAGCCGGUCUCAGUCCGGAUCGCAGUCUGCAACUCGACUGCGUGAAGUUGGAAUCGCUAGUAAUCGUAGAUCAGCAUGCUACGGUGAAUACGUUCCCGGGCCUU
rnacentral:rRNA from 1 species